rnacentral:rRNA from 1 species
CCUACGGGUGGCAGCAGUGGGGAAUAUUGGACAAUGGGGGCAACCCUGAUCCAGCCAUGCCGCGUGUGUGAAGAAGGCCCUCGGGUUGUAAAGCACUUUCAGUGAGGAAGAACGCCUGGUGGUUAAUACCCAUCAGGAAAGACAUCACUCACAGAAGAAGCACCGGCUAACUCCGUGCCAGCAGCCGCGGUAAUACGGAGGGUGCGAGCGUUAAUCGGAAUUACUGGGCGUAAAGCGCGCGUAGGUGGCUUGAUAAGCCGGUUGUGAAAGCCCCGGGCUCAACCUGGGAACGGCAUCCGGAACUGUCAAGCUAGAGGGCAGGAGAGGAAGGUAGAAUUCCCGGUGUAGCGGUGAAAUGCGUAGAGAUCGGGAGGAAUACCAGUGGCGAAGGCGGCCUUCUGGACUGACACUGACAAUGAGGUGCGAAAGCGUGGGUAGCAAACAGGAUUAGAUACCCUUGUAGUC